AUUCACUGUUUUCAUUAGCCAUGUCUCAAUCAAAGAUUUUCCAUAAUAUAGAAAACAUUAAAAGUCCUAAAUUCCUUGAUAUUUUCCUCGACUUGAUCAUCCAAUGAAACCUUUGAACUCCUCUCCAAAACCUAAUUUCUUUGCUAUCCAGACUACCAGCAAGCUGUUCCUCCGAUUCCAGCAUUUCUUUUAUGCUCAAAUGCAAA
rnacentral:misc_RNA from 1 species